rnacentral:rRNA from 1 species
GGUCUUGACAUCCCGGAGACCCUUAGGAAACUAAGGGGGUGGCUUCCAUCUGGAAGAAGUCUGGAGGACAGGUGCUGCAUGGCUGUCGUCAGCUCGUGUCGUGAGAUGUUGGGUUAAGUCCCGCAACGAGCGCAACCCUUGCCUUAGUUGCCAUCAGUUCGGCUGGGCACUCUAUGGAGACUGCCACCUAAAGUGGAGGAAGGUGGGGAUGACGUCAAGUCAGCAUGGCCCUUACGUCCGGGGCUACACACGUGCUACAAUGGCCGGCACAACGGGAAGCGAGUUCGCGAGGACGAGCGGAUCCCUCAAAGCCGGUCGCAGUUCGGAUUGAAGUCUGCAACUCGACUUCAUGAAGCUGGAAUCGCUAGUAAUCGCGCAUCAGCCAUGGCGCGGUGAAUACGUUCCCGGGCCUU